GACGAACGCUGGCGGCGUGCUUAACACAUGCAAGUCGAACGGAAAGGCCCUGCUUGCAGGGUGCUCGAGUGGCGAACGGGUGAGUAACACGUGGGUGAUCUGCCCCUUACUUUGGGAUAAGCCUGGGAAACUGGGUCUAAUACUGGAUAGGACCAUGCUGUAGGUGGUGUGGUGGAAAGAUUAGUUUCGGUAAGGGAUGAGCUCGCGGCCUAUCAGCUUGUUGGUGGGGUAAUGGCCUACCAAGGCGUCGACGGGUAGCCGGCCUGAGAGGGUGGACGGCCACAUUGGGACUGAGAUGCGGCCCAGACGCCUACGAGAGGCAGCAGUGGGGAAUAUUGCACAAUGAGCGCAAGCCUGAUGCAGCGACGCCGCGUGGGGGAUGACGGCCUUCGGGUUGUAAACUCCUUUCAGCCAUGACGAAGCCCUUGUGGUGACGGUAGUGGUAGAAGAAGCACCGGCUAACUACGUG
rnacentral:rRNA from 1 species